GAUUAUUUCGGGCAGUGAUAGAUAUAUAGCGUUACUAUGUUCUGUCACUUGUAUAUUUGAUCUUCCAUACAGUGAUGCUGGGAUUUCUGCUGGUGCUUUUUGCCCAGGAGAAAACAUGGCUGUGAGCUCCUUUUGGCGGAACUUCAAGGUGUGGAUCCAAAGUUCGUCUUUAGAAUCAAGCGAUGGGAAGUCAAUCUGGAUGGAGAUGCCAAUCAGUUGGCUCAUAAAAGUGAGUAUAUACAUGAGUUAAUUAUAUUGUAUAUCUCGUGGCUGCAAGGGGUCAAGUCAAGGACUCCAAUGUCAUGAUCAAGAUCGGUGCGGAAAGUGUUGCUCCACUUCUGUGCAGAUUGCACCUGGGAAAUAAGCUACACUUCCUUCCUUUUCUCCCUGCCUUCCUUUGCAUUUUGCAACGCUUUGUUUCUCACUACCGUUAAAUUUUUGCGGUUCUUGUAAUAUUGUAGUUCCUUCUAAUGUGCAGUAGCAUUUGUUGUAAUCAACAUGCAUCUUGACGGAAUGUUGAUCUCCUUUAUUUUGGUGUACCCAAGUUGUAGUUGAUGGACAAAUCAUGCACAUAGAAAUGGUUGUUAUGAAGGGAGAAAUUUGGCUGUUAUGUCACAAA